GACGAGCGCUGGCGGCGUGCUUAACACAUGCAAGUCGAACGGAAAGGCCUGCUUUCCCUUGUGGAUUGCGGGUACUCGAGUGGCGAACGGGUGAGUAACACGUGAGUGAUCUGCCCCCAACUUGGGUAUAAGCCUGGGAAACUGGGUCUAAUUCCCGAUAGGACUGCAGGGUGGUGCCUGUGGUGGAAAACGAUUUUCUAGUGGUUGGGGAUGAGCUCGCGGCCUAUCAGCUUGUUGGUGGGGUAAUGGCCUACCAAGGCGGCGACGGGUAGCCGGCCUGAGAGGGUGGACGGCCACAUUGGGACUGAGAUACGGCCCAGACUCCUACGGGAGGCAGCAGUGGGGAAUAGUGCACAAUGGGCGGAAGCCUGAUGCAGCGACGCCGCGUGGGGGAUGACGGCCUUCGGGUUGUAAACUCCUUUCGACCGCGAGGAAGCCACCUGGUUGGAAGGGUGGUGACGGUAGUGGUAGAAGAAGCACCGGCUAACUACGUG
rnacentral:rRNA from 1 species